rnacentral:misc_RNA from 1 species
ACCGAGUUGAAGUUGCCUGCGUGGUGUCCACACAGAUUGUCUGAUGAUAAGAAAGAGUCAAAAGCGUCUUGCGAAGCUGACAAGUGAUGUCCCCUUCGUCUAGAGGCCCAGGACACCGCCCUUUCACGGCGGUAACAGGGGUUCGAAUCCCCUAGGGGACGCCAAUAUGACUGACGGUGGGUGAAAGACACGGUCGACGUUAACCUAAAACUGAUUAGCGAUAGUCAGGUUUAUGUUAUCUGCUCUUUAACAAUCCGGAACAAGCUGAAUAAUUUGAAACGACGGCGUAUGAACGACUGUUUGUAGUAUGAACGAACGUUUGUAGGCUGGUCGAGUCUC